rnacentral:rRNA from 1 species
GACUUGUGUGCGCCUGCAUUCUGCGGUCACUUCCCAAAAGGGUUGUCCGACAUGCGGUGCAGGCGCCGUUAAACCGUCAACUGGAUCGCGUCUGGGCUUCAUUGUCUGGGCGCUGUCAUUCGGUUGAUCAUUUACUGUGAGAAAAUUAGAGUGUUCAAGGCAGGCAUUAUUGCAAUUGAAUAUGUUAGCAUGGAAUAAUAAGAUAAGGCUUUCGGCUUAUUUUGUUGGUUUCUAGAUCGGAAGUAAUGAUUGAUAGGGAUAGUUGGGGGUGCUAGUAUUCAACGGCCAGAGGUGAAAUUCAUGGAUUCGUUGAAGACUAACUUAUGCGAAAGCAUU